rnacentral:lncRNA from 1 species
UUAAUUAACAGAAGGAUAAAAUGGUUUGUAGUGAUAAUAAAUUAGUAUAAAUAGUCUUAUCCCACCCAUCAUUUUUUUGUAAACAAGUGUAGCCAAUGUGCUGCAGCAGCUAGCCGCCUAUAUAUAUACAAGUCGAGUUCAUAAACCUUGGUUUAAGCUUUUACAUCAUAGAGACAUAGUUCUGUCGUUGAGAGAGAAAGAGAUGGCUUUAAGCUGGCUUCUUCAUUCUGCAUACACUAUUGUUUUAGGAAACCCAAAAACGCAAGGCGACAAGAGUUUGGGGUACCCUAAUAAAGAUGUAAAAGAAGUUGCCAAAAGUUUAAAAAUUGAACCUGAAUAUCCUUUCCAAAUGCCUCUUCAUUAUCCUCGUUACACCAAGGCCGACUACCAGAAAAUGGAGGAGUGGAGGGUGGACUUGCUUCUGCAGCAAUAUGGCCUCAACUUUGAAGGUAUGCUUGACGAGAAGAGGGCGUAUGCCAUGGGUGCGUUCCUGUGGCCUGAUCAACUUUGAACUGCCUUUCAAAUUCCUGCUUGUACCACAACUUUACGCAGCUUCUGUUUCUCAAGAGCCAUAGUGUGUAUCUGGUUCUGUAUCGUUUCUACCAUUAUACAAGUAGCUAAGCCUAUCGCAAUGAAGCUUCUAUAGCCUUAUGUAUGAGUUGAAUAUAUAUUGCUACGUAGAAAUUAUUGUUCCCUCUAGUUGUAAGUGUUGUUUACCCUUUAAUCAUGCAUUUUCUUGUCUGUAACUCCUAGCAUUGAAAGAAACUUGGACUGUUGGUGCCUAUUUGGCAGAGCGGCAUGCUGAGACAAAGAACUUUUACUAGUAGAGAUGUAAGAAAAAGUGCCCUUAAUGUGAAAGUCCAUAGUGUGUGAUGAUCAAUUUUAAAAAGGAAUAUUGAAGAAAUAUAGCAGUUCACAACAUCAUUGUGCAACAUUAUGUUCCACUAUCCCUUAAGUCCAUACAGUACUUUCGAAUGUACCUGAAACAUUUCGUAGAACAGCAAAGCAAAAUUUGGGUCGGAAAAAUUCAUAUUUGUUGCCAACCUUUCAGUUAUAAUAUUUUCACAACAUUUCUAUUCGGCAAUCCGUAUAUAGAUGACAGCCUUAGCUCCCACAAUUACUUUCAAAUACAUGAUAAACAACACAUAAGUAGCACGAAGCAAUGUAUACACCCUCAGUAACAAAAUUAGAGAUCCAAUUAUAAACGGACGACUUUUAAGAAAAAAAUUAUUUUUAUAAACUAAUCUCACAUUUGCUAGAAAUGUAGUAGUGGUGACAUGAUAGUAUUCAAUCAAGCUAGGAAUAAGUAAUGACAUAUUAGGAAGUUCAUGACUCUUUAUAGUCUAAAUUUAGAAAUGUAUAUCUAAUUUUGGAGCGUAUCUCUAAUUUUGCAACGGAGAGAGUAUUAUUUUAGUUAUUGUUUAAAAAUUUAAACCUUAGGUGCUCAGGUUUAUCAACAUAAAUUAAUUUCAAAUGCCAACUUUAGCAUAAGCAUAUAGGUAAAAGUAAAAUUGAAAUCUCCAAACUCUUCCGGUAUAAGGAAUAACAGUGAUAGUAAAAUACUCUGUGAAUCCAAAAAAGAUCAUCCUUAUUGGAAUUAUGAAAAGAAACGUCUUCUUUAUUUUUUAAUUUUUUUUAAAAUAUUAAGACAGAGGGAGUAUAACAAGAUCUGAAAAGACCAAGGGGAUUCUUAUUUGUACAAAUGGUACUUCGAUGGACGGUAAUUGGAGUCGGCAGCUCUCCUAGGGUUAGAAGAACCACACAAGCGCCCCCAGUGUAUUAACUUUAGUUCUGAUAAGUAUUUUAUUAGUAUGGUUAAAAAGAGCAAGCCAUUUCAAGUUAUUAUGCAUUGCCACUGCGCAAGAAAGAUAACAAUCUUCUAAGCAUGUUAUUCUUUAAAAGAAGCAGCAAAUAUCAGUCACCAGACACUAUUUUAUAAAACGAGAGAAUGGAACCAAAACAUAGUGUUGCAAAAAAAAGGUAAGGGUCCAAUCCAAGUGCACUGCUAAUGAAAGAAAAUCAUCGACAGUUUAAUGCAAAGGGUCCCGCAAUUCAAGAAACAAAAUACACGAUUGAUCAUAAUUCAAUGACAAUUAAUUAAAUGUCAGUUUAUCAUUUUGGCUUAUAUGACAGACACACUGACCUUACCACUAGGUUGUCAAAUAUGUGGUUACAAACUUGCAUCUUUUCUUUGUCAUAAAUCAGACUUCAUAUAUCUUCAUCAUAAAUGAAUUAUCCAACUCUUACCUGCACCAAAAAGAGCUUUUAUGCUGGAGAGACCUAGAAGGUCCACUGGGUGGAUGGUUGAUGAUAAGCCUCGGUGCUUCAGAAAGCCAGUUCAAUUUGC